UAUAGGCCCAUUUUACACUGAACAGCAGCAUUUGACUAGCCCUAGCCAUGCCGAGAAUUUCCUUUGGGUCCGGGAUUGGUGUUCUGGGAGGGGCCAGCUUGUGCAUCUCUCUCUUCUAUUCAGCUUCGAUUCAGGCCAAGGCGGUGCGCCUCGAUAAGCAGGCCGAGCUGGCGGAGAUGCGAGCCGUGAGGGCUGAGGAGCGGGCGGUCAGGGAGGAGGAACGGGCCGUCAGGGCAGAGGAGAGGGCGGUCAGGGAGGAGGAACGGGCCGUCAGGGCAGAGGAGAGGGCGGUCAGGGAGGAGGAACGGGCCGUCAGGGAGGAGGAACGGGCCGUCGGGGCAGAGGAGCGGGCUGAGGGAAGAGCCGUGAAGGCUGAGGAGAGGGCCGAGAGGAC
rnacentral:lncRNA from 1 species